CAGUGGGCUGCAAGACCUUGAUCUGGGCUGGCAAGCUAAUCUACCUGAGGAAGCAGUGUAUCCUGAGAGAGGAGGCAGACUGUAUGAAACCACCACCAUUUUGAUCUUCAUCACCCAACAUCUCUAAUGGAGACAGAAUACCAAGAAAGCAUCACCAUACAGCACGGAAAGAAAUAUUGAAAACAAAUCAACAGCCACACACUUUCGACUCCCCCCGCCCCCAGGACCCAGUCAGAGCCAUAGAGGAGUGGGUGAUUGUCAGGUUUGGGAGUUGGGGGGUAGGGUCAGGAAGAGGAUGGAAUACCAAGUUAAGUUUUCCACGCCACUUCCUCAGACCUGGGUUGGGGAGGGACACAAGAGAAUCCAGAUUCUCCAUUAAAAAUAAUCCAGCCCCACCCAAUCCUAUCCCUCCUACCAAUGUUUCAAGGAAGGGGAGCAGAAGGGAAAGCUAAGAAUUUCCAGGUUCCACCCCCUAUUCAUGGAACCCUAAAUUCACCCUCUACCCACCUCAAGGGAUCCUGAAGAGUCAGUUAAAAAUAUAUAGUGAUAUAGAUAUUUCUAGAUACACUUUUACAUCAUCUCUGUCUUUCCAAACAAAUAAAUAAACAGUAAGAGAAGUGCAUUGCUUCCUUUCUGUCCAAGGUGGGGAGGAUUAGGAUUGGGGAUCAGUCUUGCCGCUGUAGUUAGUGCACUGUUGUAAAGGGAAGGGGUUGUUUGGGGAGGGGGAAAAUUCCUCUCACCCAUCAUCCCUGAUAGCUGUCUAAAAAUUGGAGGGUGGAGGUGAGGGGGUGUUGGCUGUCUCCAGUGGUUGCUUUGGCAAAUGCCCAGUUCUAGGGGGAGGGGGCGGGAAGAAGUAUGAGUUUGGCUAGUGAAUAGGAAAGGGAGUCACCAAGAAAGACUAGGCUUUGAGGGGGGUUACUUGUCUUGUUGGAAAGCCCUAUGAUAAAAUCUUGGGAUACUGAACUGCAGAAAUGUAACAGACACACUCAUAUAAGCAUUCUUUCCCCACCCUUUAAAAAAAAAAUCUCCAAACAUAAAAUCUCUCUCACACACACACACACACACACACACACACACACACACCCUCUACCCAUUGUAUUACAGGAGGCAAACCUGAUGAACAUUAUACACUAUUAGGAGCACACACACAUAAAAAGAGAGAGGAGGGCUAGGGAAAGGUUCCUCUGGGAUAUUUAGUGUAGCCAAGGAAAGUUGGAUGGAGCCAGAUAGGAGGUAAGUCUGGCCAAGAAGGGGAGAAUUAAUCACCUGCAAGUGUUACUGACCAUCUACUACUGUGUGCAAGGUACUGUGCUAUGAGUAAAGGGGAGGAGGGAGCAGGGCUGGAGAAAAAGAUGAAUAAGACAGUCCCUGCCCUUAGUUGGGAAGAGGGGCAUGGUGGAAGGCCAAGAUGCUGUAGACCAGCAGUUCUCCAAGUAUGGUCUGAGAACUUCUAGGGCCCCUAAAACCAUCUUAUGAGGGAUCAUGAGGUCAAAGGAAUAUUCUUAAUACUAAGAUGUUUUAAUCUUUAAUGUGUAAAUAUGGAUGGAAAUAAGCCACAUACAAGUUCUUUGGAAUCCCCACUAAUUUCAAAGAGUUCUGAGACCAAAAAGUUUGAGAACCACUGUUCUGGAGAAAUAAAGAAGGAAUGCUCACUGAGACAGGGGGCUUAUUCAGGAGGUAGGUUUGCGUGAAUUUGGGAUCUGAAGGAAAGGCAGGACUUAGAGGGAGGACAGCAUAUUAUAGGGAUGAACACAGAGAGGUAGGAAAAUCCAGGAAAAACCCAUGCUGGGAGACAGGAAAGAGUCCAGUCUAGCUGGAGUAAUACAAUUCCAUUGUGGGCAAGGUUGGAAACACAAGACCAAAUGGGAGAGCCAGGCGGGACCAGCCGCAAAAUCCCCCUUGAAAAUGGACAUAUAAAAAUAAUGUUUUAAUUUAGCAAGUAAAGACAAUUCUCAGAGAGAAUGUGAGGUCCAUAAAGAUAGGGAUCUUGUCUUAUCUUAGCUUUGUAUCUUUCCCAGCAUCUGGUAUGCCAUAAGUGCUUAAUAAAUGCUUACUGAAUUACUAAAUGAAUGAGUGGAUAAAGAAGGGAGGUGGAUGCAGCAAGAGAAAAUAUGUCUAUGAAGGACUUUUGGGAGAACAAAGUUGGGAAGAUCAGGAAGCUGAAAUGCUGGACGGCUGGUCACUUCACACACACACACACACACACACACACACACACACAUCACAGACACCCAGGCGUGCGGUGUGCAGACACACAGACACACAUACACACACACACACACACUCUGCUUCAGAAUACUGCACACGACUAGGUCUCUGAGCUGCGUAAAGACGGUCACUUAGAGAACUAGGCCUCUGCUGCCUCUAUGUUUCAACUGUACUGAGAGACCUAAGACAAAGUCCCUAGCCCUCGGGCACUGGGAGCACAAGCCAAGAAUCGAUGUCUGAAAGGAUGGGGGAAGACAACCCAGGCCUCCCACUGCCCACACUCCACCUCUGUGAGUAGGUGUAGAAGUAGGGGCUGCUAGGGGAUGCCUCCCA
rnacentral:lncRNA from 1 species